UGGGGAAUUUUGCACAAUGGGGGAAACCCUGAUGCAGCGACGCCGCGUGAUUUAGAAGGCCUUCGGGUUGUAAAAAUCUUUUCUAUGGGAAGAAAAUGACAGUACCAUAGGAAUAAGGACCGGCUAAUUACGUGCCAGCAGCCGCGGUAAUACGUAAGGUCCGAGCGUUGUCCGGAAUCAUUGGGCGUAAAGGGUACGUAGGCGGGUAAGCAAGUUAGAAGUGAAAUCCUAUAGCUCAACUAUAGUAAGCUUUUAAAACUGCUCAUCUUGAGGUAUGGAAGGGAAAGUGGAAUUCCUAGGGUAGCGGUGAAAUGCGCAGAUAUUAGGGGGAAUACCGGUGGCGAAGGCGACUUUCUGGCCAUAACCUGACGCUGAGGUACGAAAGCGUGGGUAGCAAACAGG
rnacentral:rRNA from 1 species